rfam:Myotis davidii contig102294, whole genome shotgun sequence.
GGCAGUUCUCACAUGAUGCGCCCCAGAAUCGGACUCCCUCCUUUCUGGUUCCGGGUGUAUCACCCAAGAAUUGCA